rnacentral:rRNA from 1 species
GACUAGAGUACUGUAGAGGGGCGUAGAAUUUCGGGUGGAGCGGUGAAAUGAGCAGAGAACUGUAGGAAUACCGGUGGUGGCGGCGGCCCCCUGGACAGCUACUGCCACUCAGAUGCGACAGCGUGGGGAGCACGCAGGAUUAGAUACCCUGGUAGUCCACGCCUUAAACGAUUUCUACCUGGUAGUUGUGGCCUUGAGCCGUGGCUUUCUAAGCUAACUCGUUAAGUAGACCGCCUGGGGAGUUCGGUCGUAAGACUAAAACUCAACUGAAUUGACGCGUGCCGGCACAAGCGUUGGAGCAUGUGGUUUAAUUCGAUGCGACGCGAAGAACAUUACCUACUCUUGACAUCCAAAGAACAUUCCUGAGAUUGAACGGUGCAGUCG